AAUGGACGAAAGUCUGACGGAGCAACGCCGCGUGAAUGAAGAAGGCCUUCGGGUUGUAAAGUUCUGUCUUCAGGGAAGAAAAAAAUGACGGUACCUGAGGAGGAAGCCCCGGCUAACUACGUGCCAGCAGCCGCGGUAAUACGUAGGGGGCAAGCGUUGUCCGGAAUUACUGGGCGUAAAGAGCGUGUAGGCGGGAAUUUAAGUCAGCUGUGAAACCUUCGGGCUCAACCUGAAGCAUGCACCUGAAACUGAAUUUCUUGAGGGUAUGAGAGGAAAACGGUAUUCCUAGUGUAGCGGUGAAAUGCGUAGAUAUUAGGAGGAACACCAGUGGCGAAGGCGGUUUUCUGGCAUACAACUGACGCUGAGACGCGAAAGCGUGGGGAGCAAACAGGAUUAGAUACCCUGGUAGUCCACGCCGUAAACGAUGGGUACUAGGUGUAGGAGGUAUCGACCCCUUCUGUGCCGCAGUUAACACAUUAAGUACCCCGCCUGGGGAGUAC
rnacentral:rRNA from 1 species